CGCGCGGCGGGGGCGCAGGGGGAUGGGCGGCGCAUUUGGAGUUAAAUGGUCCCACCAGAGGGAGUAAGUCAUAUUUUGAAGUGCUCCAGGCUCUGUGGCUUUCGUGGCAAACAUGAAAGCUCUGAUCUCUCGAAGCCUUAAAUGAACAUCGCCUCCAUGGCAGACAUGCAGGCAGGCGUUCGGCGGCCGUUUAGGACCUGAACGGGGGAGUGCUGUGGAGGAAUUUAUUCCAGGUUACUCCAGGUAUAAAACACAGGAACCAAUUCAAGAGGUCACCUCAUCAGCUACUCUCCUUCAAUCAGGGGCUAAAUUCAAUCGGAAAGAUCUGAGAACCUCCCCCUACUUUGUGGGAUCCAUUAGUAACCACAUUUCUUUUUAAGAAGUUCCAGAAGGCACCCAAUAUUGGUAAAUCAUCCUUGUAGUCAGCUGCCUUCGCUGGAGUGGGAGCGGGUGUGGGGUGGACCCUUUACAGAUGGUCCCA